rnacentral:tRNA from 1 species
GGGGUUGUGGCUUAGUGGUAGAGCACUAACCUAGCAUGUUUGAGGCAUGUUUGAGGUUUGAUCCUCAGCACCA